rnacentral:rRNA from 1 species
UACAGAGACUGCAAGCGUUAUUCGGAUUCACUGGGCGUAAAGGGUGCGCAGGCGGCCGUGUGUGUCAGGUGUGAAAGCCCGGGGCUUAACCCCGGAAUUGCGCCUGAAACUACAUGGCUAGAGCAUUGGAGAGGGUAGCGGAAUUCCCGGUGUAGCGGUGAAAUGCGUAGAGAUCGGGAGGAACAUCAGUGGCGAAGGCGGCCCUCUGGACCAGCACUGACGCUGAGGCACGAAAGCGUGGGGAGCAAACAGG